GGCCAACAGAAGCUCCUCAGUGGGGCCACAAGCUUAGUGCAUGGAGACCCUCCAUCCCAUUGCCCUCGGGAAGGUCUGAGACCAAGAGCAGAUCCUUGAGGUU
rnacentral:RNase_P_RNA from 2 species